AAGAGCAUAGCCAAAAUUUUGUCUCCCUCAUCCCCUCUCUACAAGUUUCCUUAGUUGAUAGCGUUUGAGUGUGAACUAUCAGAGACACGAGAUUUUUGGUGCUUGCUUUUAAGAGAAUUUGAAGAAAUGUUGGAUUAAUUUUUUUUACUAUAACAAAUCAAAAGGAAACGAUGUUGACAAGAUUAGAGGGUGACGAAACUGUGUUGAGGUGAAGAAAAGCAGAGGAAGAAAGAGAGAUGAAGACAUUGUUAAGGGCGUUGUGGAGGUAAAGAGAAGCAAGGUGUGUGUGUUCGUGUGUGUGGGUGUGGGGGGGGGAGGGGGUAGACUCCCCCACGACGUUAAGGUACCCGUACCGAGUAGUCUAGGAUUCAAAAAUUGUUUUCAAAGGGUAAAAAUCUAUAUAUGGUAAAUACGUAAACCCGUUUUUCUAAGAACAUGUUACACAAACCUCAUAUCUCUAGUUGACUAGAUAGAAAGAAUUAUAAUGAAACGAGUGGUUACAAGACA